AAACAAGCUGACUAGUCAUUUUGGUGUGGAUUGAGUUGUUAAUAGGAAAAGUGAAUAGGAAUUUAAAGAGUUGUAAAGCUUUAGCAGAUAUGCACUAUUUUCAAGUGUCUGUGAAUGAGUGAGAGGGAACAACAAAGCUGGGUGGAAAAGAGGAACGAAUGGGUUUGAGAGGAUAUUGGUAAAAGCUUGGAGAUCUUUGGUGGGUGUGGGUGAUAUGCAUGCUUUUAGUUGUUUCUUUUUUAUUUUUAGUACACAUAUAGCCAAAGGAAUGCUUGUUCUAAUUCUCAGAAUCUAUAAGGUAUCCAUUAACCCAUAUAGGCAUGAUCCUUGGAGCUUCUAUACAUACAAUAUGAAAUUCACGCACAACCAAAGUUAAUCAAUUCUAUGUCAACUAGUUUAGACAGUUAGGUGUCUC
rnacentral:lncRNA from 1 species